rnacentral:rRNA from 1 species
GACGAACGCUGGCGGCGUGCUUAACACAUGCAAGUCGAACGGAAAGGCCCUGCUUUUGUGGGGUGCUCGAGUGGCGAACGGGUGAGUAACACGUGAGUAACCUGCCCUUGACUUUGGGAUAACUUCAGGAAACUGGGGCUAAUACCGGAUAGGAGCUCCUGCUGCAUGGGGGGGGUUGGAAAGUUUCGGCGGUUGGGGAUGGACUCGCGGCUUAUCAGCUUGUUGGUGGGGUAGUGGCUUACCAAGGCUUUGACGGGUAGCCGGCCUGAGAGGGUGACCGGCCACAUUGGGACUGAGAUACGGCCCAGACUCCUACGGGAGGCAGCAGUGGGGAAUAUUGCACAAUGGGCGGAAGCCUGAGGCAGCAACGCCGCGUGCGGGAUGACGGCCUUCGGGUUGUAAACCGCUUUCGCCUGUGACGAAGCGUGAGUGACGGUAAUGGGUAAAGAAGCACCGGCUAACUACGUG